GUUGGAAGAGCAUUGGGCUAGUAUUCCAAAGGUCGUAGGUUCGAAUCCCACCCUGGCCGGGCAUAUUUUUCAAGCUCGCCCGGUGUGGAUAUGCACUCAGAGUAACAUGGCAAACAUAUUAUUCACCUGAGUACACAACACCAACACAGAGAAAAAAAAAAUUCAUAUUACUAGAACAUAUUGGUAUUGAAGGAACUAGAUACUGUUCCGAAAUAUCACUUACUCGAAC